UGCAAGUCGAACGCUUUGUGGUUCAACUGAUUUGAAGAGCUUGCUCAGAUAUGACGAUGGACAUUGCAAAGAGUGGCGAACGGGUGAGUAACACGUGGGAAACCUACCUCUUAGCAGGGGAUAACAUUUGGAAACAGAUGCUAAUACCGUAUAACAAUGACAACCGCAUGGUUGUUAUUUAAAAGAUGGUUCUGCUAUCACUAAGAGAUGGUCCCGCGGUGCAUUAGCUAGUUGGUAAGGUAAUGGCUUACCAAGGCGAUGAUGCAUAGCCGAGUUGAGAGACUGAUCGGCCACAAUGGGACUGAGACACGGCCCAUACUCCUACGGGAGGCAGCAGUAGGGAAUCUUCCACAAUGGGCGAAAGCCUGAUGGAGCAACGCCGCGUGUGUGAUGAAGGGUUUCGGCUCGUAAAACACUGUUGUAAGAGAAGAAUGACAUUGAGAGUAACUGUUCAAUGUGUGACGGUAUCUUACCAGAAAGGAACGGCUAAAUACGUGCCAGCAGCCGCGGUAAUACGUAUGUUCCAAGCGUUAUCCGGAUUUAUUGGGCGUAAAGCGAGCGCAGACGGUUAUUUAAGUCUGAAGUGAAAGCCCUCAGCUCAACUGAGGAAUUGCUUUGGAAACUGGAUGACUUGAGUGCAGUAGAGGAAAGUGGAACUCCAUGUGUAGCGGUGAAAUGCGUAGAUAUAUGGAAGAACACCAGUGGCGAAGGCGGCUUUCUGGACUGUAACUGACGUUGAGGCUCGAAAGUGUGGGUAGCAAACAGGAUUAGAUACCCUGGUAGUCCACACCGUAAACGAUGAGUGCUAGGUGUUUGAGGGUUUCCGCCCUUAAGUGCCGCAGCUAACGCAUUAAGCACUCCGCCUGGGGAGUACGACCGCAAGGUUGAAACUCAAAGGAAUUGACGGGGACCCGCACAAGCGGUGGAGCAUGUGGUUUAAUUCGAAGCAACGCGAAGAACCUUACCAGGUCUUGACAUCCCUUGACAACUCCAGAGAUGGAGUGUUCCCUUCGGGGACAAGGUGACAGGUGGUGCAUGGUUGUCGUCAGCUCGUGUCGUGAGAUGUUGGGUUAAGUCCCGCAACGAGCGCAACCCUUAUUACUAGUUGCCAGCAUUCAGUUGGGCACUCUAGUGAGACUGCCGGUGACAAACCGGAGGAAGGUGGGGAUGACGUCAAAUCAUCAUGCCCCUUAUGACCUGGGCUACACACGUGCUACAAUGGCGUAUACAACGAGUUGCCAACCCGCGAGGGUGAGCUAAUCUCUUAAAGUACGUCUCAGUUCGGAUUGUAGGCUGCAACUCGCCUACAUGAAGUCGGAAUCGCUAGUAAUCGCGGAUCAGCACGCCGCGGUGAAUACGUUCCCGGGUCUUGUACACACCGCCCGUCACACCAUGAGAGUUUGUAACACCCAAAGCCGGUGGGGUAACCUUCGGGAGCCAGCCGUCUA
rnacentral:rRNA from 1 species